rnacentral:rRNA from 1 species
UGGGCUCGAACGGCUUGCGAUCACCCUAGAAACAGGGUUUCCAUGCAGCUUGCUGUAUGGCGGAAGUCGAGGUGCUGCAUGGCUGUCGUCAGCUCGUGCCGUGAGGUGUUCGGUUAAGUCCGGCAACGAGCGCAACCCCUACCCUUAGUUACCAGCGGGUUAUGCCGGGGACUCUAGGGGGACUGCCCUGGUCAACGGGGAGGAAGGUGGGGACGACGUCAAGUCAUCACGGCCUUUAUGUCCAGGGCUACACACGUGCUACAAUGGCCGGUACAGAGGGCUGCGAACCCGCGAGGGGGAGCCAAUCCCAAAAAGCCGGCCUCAGUUCGGAUUGCAGUCUGCAACUCGACUGCAUGAAGCUGGAAUCGCUAGUAAUCGCGAAUCAGCAGGUCGCGGUGAAUACGUUCCCGGGCCU